rnacentral:rRNA from 1 species
GUAGGGAAUAUUGGGCAAUGGUCGGAAGACUGACCCAGCCAUGCCGCGUGCAGGAAGACGGCCCUCUGGGUUGUAAACUGCUUUUAUCUGGGAAGAAAAAGGCCAUGCGUGGUAAAUUGCCGGUACCAGAUGAAUAAGCACCGGCUAACUCCGUGCCAGCAGCCGCGGUAAUACGGAGGGUGCGAGCGUUGUCCGGAUUUAGUGGGUUUAAAGGGUGCGUAGGCGGCUGAUUAAGUCAGCGGUGAAAGACUUCGGCUUAACCGGAGCAGUGCCGUUGAUACUGGUUGGCUUGAGUGUCGGAGGGGUACAUGGAAUUGAUGGUGUAGCGGUGAAAUGCAUAGAUACCAUCAGGAACACCGAUAGCGAAGGCAUUGUACUGGCCGACAACUGACGCUGAUGCACGAAAGUGUGGGGAUCGAACAGGAUUAGAAACCCCGGUAGUCC